rnacentral:sRNA from 1 species
UGCGGCAGCCCCCCGGGGCGUUUCCUCCCUGACUUGGCCGCCGGCCUCACGAGCCGGCGGUCACUUUCAUCCUGGGG